UGCAAUAUGCAAUUAUGGAAAUGGCAAAAGGAUCAUAUCUUGUGCAACACUACAAGAAAAUGGAUAGGGAGCGUCGUGUGAUGUGGAUUCCAGAAGAUGAGCAAAUUCAUUGCUCAUGCAAGGAAUUUGAACAUUCCGGCAUAUUGUGCAGACACUCACUUCGGGUACUAGUGGUCAAAAAUUACUUUCAAGUACCAGAAAAAUAUUUUCUACUUCGCUGGCGUCUUGAGAGCUCCUUAGUUCCUAUGGAUAAUCAAAAUGCUCAAAGCAUCAGUGAUGAGUGUUCUCAAGCCUUCCAUUCACUUGCUGCCACUUUAUUAACGGAAUCUCUGAUGUCAAAGGAGCGUUUUAGUUUUGUUCAUAGAGAACUUACUGGGCUUCUGAAUAAUGUUAGAAAUAUGCCUGUGACUGAUGAGUUUGCUUUGGGUUUGGCAGCUAACACUUUGAGUGAAUCUUAGGUUUGGUGAUGGCAAAUUUUGGUAUUAUUGGUUCUUUAGGGAACAUGUUCAUUCAAGGACCUUGGGCCUUCUAGAAGAUGACUUGAGAUGUUGAAGGCAAUGAAAAGAAAAGUAGCUACUCAAUUAACAAUCUUGCCCUUUCUGAACAUGGAGGAGCACUAGAGAGGCAUUGUGUGAGGAAGCUUCCAGGGAUGUGCUGUGCGAGGAAAGAUCGACAAUAAGGACAACAGAGACGCCGGUGGGUGAUUAAGGAAGCAGGUGAUCACGUGUGCUCAGGCUUCUGUGCAUCUCCAUCAACUUCCUCGCGCAACACCUCUCCACCAGCUUCCUCGCGCAACGCAGUCUCCUCAAACUUCUCUUUCCUCAUUAACUUCCUCGUGCAUGUCAUCCCGCUUCUUUCUAAUUUCAUCAUUAUUAUUGAAGACAAGUAUUGAGAGAAUAAGAGCUAAAACAAGAAAUUUGAAUUUGUACUCUAAUUAUACAUGUUCUCCAGAAAGUUCA